GACUGUUUUAGCAGUAUCACUAUUUUAGUGGCAUUAUUAUUAUGAGGACGAUAGUUAAAAACAUGAGUUUGAAGUAAGUUUUCGUAUAUAAUGUGUUAUUUUAAUUAAAGUUCAAGCAGGAUAACAGUAAAUGCGACAAUGGCCAGAUACAUCGUGGAUGCUUCUCCAUGUGAAGAGGCCCCAAUCAAUGUACACAUACAAGGCGAAGCUCAUCUUGCCUCAGACAGAGGGAGGAUGCUUCGUUAUUCACAGUAAUUGACGGAAAAGGGAAAUCGCAUAACGCGUCAUCCCGUUCCCAGCCCAGUUCUCUGUCAGAUUGUGGCUUUUGCGUAGUAUUCGGUGGAUGUAAUAUUCAGGAAGAUGAUGCCACUUUGGCUUCGCUGUGGGAAAAGAGAAAACGUUAGAAGUGAGAGAAGACUGGCAUAAUGAUCCUUGCUAUUUCGACAUUGUCACUUCUUUCUGGUGAUGGUGAUAUUGCUGUCAUUGUCAAGUAAAGUAACAAGAGCAGACAUCUUCUUGCAACAGGGAUUGUCUGCCUUUUCAUUUGUUCACUUUGAUCACCUCCCACACAGCUGUCCGCUUCUUGAAUUAGACUUGGCCCAGAUUUCCCUUCCCAUUCGAGAUCAGAU